rnacentral:lncRNA from 1 species
UUAACAUAAAGUUGAUAGGAAUUAAUUGAGUUUGAAUUCUUUGGAUUAGUAAGAGGAAUGUGCUUUCACAGGCAUCUGUGUCCUUCAAGGAUGUGACUGUGGAGUUUACCCAGGAGGAGUGGCGGCAGAUGAGCCCUGCUCGGAGGACCCUGUACAGAGAUGUGAUGCUGGAGAACUACAGCCACCUUGUGUCUUCGGAAUCCUGAUUCAAGAAGGAAAUAAGAGCAACAGCAGGAAAAGGCUUGUACCCUCUACCUGAACUCUGGCUUCUGUUGCACUGUGAGACUAUCCAUGAACUUGACCACAGUAAGAGCUUCGCCUUUGAUUUGUCCAGAUUUAAGGGCUAAUCACCAAGAAGUAAUGCGCAACAUGUAAAGCUUAGCAGCCUGUGUUUGUAGUCAAGCAGACCUGUUCAAGCCUUGGCUUUGCUAUUAUGGGCUCUGUGACCAUGGAAAACCCCUUAACCUCUCUGUGCUCUGCAAAAU